CUUUAUCGGAGAGUUUGAUCCUGGCUCAGGACGAACGCUGGCGGCGUGCCUAAUACAUGCAAGUCGAGCGGACAGAUGGGAGCUUGCUCCCU
rnacentral:rRNA from 5 species